CGGGUGAGUAUCGCGUAGGGAUUUAUCGUUGGGUGGGGGAUAACCGCGGGAAACUGCGGCUAAUACCGCAUGACGCCUGUGGGCCAAAGGUCGAGAGGCUGCCUGAUGAGGAGCCUGCGUCCGAUUAGCUAGUAGGUUGGGUAAUGGCUGACCUAGGCUAUGAUCGGUAGCUGGUCUGAGAGGAUGAUCAGCCACACUGGGACUGAGACACGGCCCAG
rnacentral:rRNA from 1 species